CUUCAGAGGCUCCAAAUCUUUGGUUUGAAAUUUUAUUCUAGAUGUCUUUAAGCUGAGUGAGUCCAACUAUAUCAUGUGAUGGCAAUAUCACCAAAAUAUAUUACGAGAAGCGUGUGUCGCAUGUCGUAAUGUCAGUAGAAUAGAGAAUGGUUAGAAUGACUGCAUUUGAGACAAAUUCCCAAACAACUGAACUGAGUUGGCUGAACCAAACUCAUGGUGACUGAUGGGGCCCAUAACCCACAGGUCGCAGGAUCAGAACCUCGUUUUGAUACCAUGUGACAAUAGAGAUUACGAAUUGGAGAGAUAAAUCAUGUGUGUCAAUGUGAGCGCACAUAUCACAUAUAGACAUGACAAACAAGGAAACACAAGUUUAAAGAAGUUACAUGAUCAGUAUACACCAUAUUGACAAAUGUCCCCUUAUACUAUGUCCUAUUGCUAAAACGCAUGAAUCAACUCAUGUAAAGAGGGCUCAACUAGAAUGAGACAUAUAUACUUACCUCUAGAUAGAUCAGAUCAACAUACACUAGCCAUAUUUUAUGCUGCGGUCUAAAUGCAUGGCCUCCAUCACUUUUGCUUCGAAUGGUACUUGAAAAUGAAAGUUUGUGUAAAUUAGGGUAUCAUUUUAGAGUGAUGUGAUACCUCUUUACAAAGCAUAGACUAUUUAUUGAGUAAUGAGGUGCCUGGCUCAGUUUUGUGGAAUUUAACACGUGGGUGUUUUGAUAUAGUUGAUUACAUAUACAAGGCAUUGAUGAAAUGAAAUUAAAAAUCAGGAAAAGCAUGCAUAGAUUUACUGAUUUGUAUGAUGCAUUGUCCUUCACUAAUGAGUGGGGAGGGGAUACUGUUUUAUAGGGCAAACUACAAGUAUUUAAUGUGUUUAGGGGAUGUCUUUUCCGGGAGAUGUUGAUGCUUGUUUUUUUCAAAAAUUCGUGAUGGGUCUUCAUUAUCGCGUGAUUUGUCUCCCCUUUUAUUUUGGUUUGGAGCCAAAGAAAGCAUAAAUAUGGGUCAGUUAGAAUACAUAUAGUGUAGUGUUUUAAAGAGAGAGACGAGAGUUAUUAUGUUUGAACUUAAUAUGAUUUUGCUGAUAACUCCUGUUCCUACCGCAGCUGCAUCGUUGCUAUCCAAAUCUCCAUGUGUAUGCAUAUGGAAGUCUUCCAUAUGUUGAUUCAGUGGUGGCAAGAGCCUGUUCAGAUUCUGUGACAAGUGGGAUCAAUCCUCGGACUUCCUGCAGCUGCCAUUAUGGCACUUUCUCGAUAUUCAAAAACUGAUACAGCAUUGAUCUAUAGACUCGCCUGUCAAUUUCUAUAUCUCGGCCAAUAUCAAUCACAGGGAAUUAAAAAACCGGCACCUGGCUAGGUAUUUAACUCUGAUCGAGUCUCAAGUGGAGAAUAUGGUCAACACGUUUGUGGGGGCCAAUAUUCUAAUAAGGAUAAAGGUAUAACUCUUUCAUCCUUUGCAAACUAUGUAUUGUGAACAUGAAUAGGAUAUGUCGCUGUUUCCGUAUCUCUCCCAUCUUAUUACCCUUGAUUUGGUUUUAAAAUUUGUGAAUUUAUAGUCAUGAAAGAGAUCCUUAAGUUAAACGGUUUAUUUCUUUGAGAAGGAA